rnacentral:tRNA from 1 species
GCGGGUGUAACUCAAUGGUAGAGUGUCAGCCUUCCAAGCUGAUUACGUGGGUUCGAUUCCCAUCACCCGCUCCA